rnacentral:rRNA from 1 species
GGGUUGUGAGGUUAAGCGACUAAGCGUACACGGUGGAUGCCCUGGCAGUCAGAGGCGAUGAAGGGCGUGCUAAUCUGCGAUAAGCGCCGGUAAGGUGAUAUGAACCGUUAUAACCGGCGAUACCCGAAUGGGGAAACCCAGUGUGACUCGUCACACUAUCAUUAACUGAAUCCAUAGGUUAAUGAGGCGAACCGGGGGAACUGAAACAUCUAAGUACCCCGAGGAAAAGAAAUCAACCGAGAUUCCCCCAGUAGCGGCGAGCGAACGGGGAGGAGCCCAGAGCCUGAAUCAGCAUGUGUGUUAGUGGAAGCGUCUGGAAAGGCGCGCGAUACAGGGUGACAGCCCCGUACACAAAAGCGCAUGUGCUGUGAGCUCGAUGAGUAGGGCGGGACACGUGGUAUCCUGUCUGAAUAUGGGGGGACCAUCCUCCAAGGCUAAAUACUCCUGACUGACCGAUAGUGAACCAGUACCGUGAGGGAAAGGCGAAAAGAACCCCGGCGAGGGGAGUGAAAAAGAACCUGAAACCGUGUACGUACAAGCAGUGGGAGCCCCACCACCAAAGCAUUUGCUGUACCGCGUUGACGGAGCGAAGCGACGUCAAACCGA